rnacentral:rRNA from 1 species
AGCGAACGCUGGCGGCAGGCCUAACACAUGCAAGUCGAGCGGCCGUAGCAAUACGGCAGCGGCAGACGGGAGAGUAACACGUGGGAACGCGCCCUUCGGUCUGGAAUAACCCAGGGAAACUUGGGCUAAUACCGGAUACGCCCUUACGGGGAAAGAUUUAUUGCCGAAGGAACGGCCCGCGUCCGAUUAGCUAGUUGGUGAGGUAACGGCUCACCAAGGCGACGAUCGGUAGCUGGUCUGAGAGGAUGACCAGCCUCACUGGGACUGAGACACGGCCCAGACUCCUACGGGAGGCAGCAGUGGGGAUUAUUGGACAAUGGGCGCAAGCCUGAUCCAGCCAUGCCGCGUGGGUGAUGAAGGCCCUAGGGUUGUAAAGCCCUUUCAGCGGGGAAGAUAAUGACGGUACCCGCAGAAGAAGCCCCGGCUAACUUCGUGCCAGCAGCCGCCGUAA